UAAUAGCCCAGAUAGGAGCGGAAAUACUUGCUUUUUCUGCAAGUAUUGCAACGGAUAGCUGGAAUUGCG
rnacentral:sRNA from 1 species